rnacentral:rRNA from 1 species
AUUGAACGCUGGCGGCAUGCUUUACACAUGCAAGUCGAACGGUAACAGGGAGCUUGCUCCGCUGACGAGUGGCGAACGGGUGAGUAAUGCAUCGGAACGUACCCAGUCGUGGGGGAUAACGUAGCGAAAGUUACGCUAAUACCGCAUACGUCCUGAGGGAGAAAGCGGGGGACCGUAAGGCCUCGCGCGAUUGGAGCGGCCGAUGUCGGAUUAGCUAGUUGGUAGGGUAAAGGCCUACCAAGGCGACGAUCCGUAGCGGGUCUGAGAGGAUGAUCCGCCACACUGGGACUGAGACACGGCCCAGACUCCUACGGGAGGCAGCAGUGGGGAAUUUUGGACAAUGGGCGAAAGCCUGAUCCAGCCAUGCCGCGUGAGUGAAGAAGGCCUUCGGGUUGUAAACUUCUUUUGGUAUGGGGCGAAAAACGGGAUUUAUCCUGGACUGACGGUACCAUCAGAAUAAGCACCGGCUAACUCCGUG